CUGAAUUCCCCUUACUCUGUAGUGAUUUACGAGGCCUUUUCUUCUUAUGGCAAAUGAUCUCAAUACUUUGCAUUUCAAGUGGGUAGGCAGUGGCUGAAUGGUUAACGUGCGGGCUCUGCAUUCACCACGUACUGGACGACGCGAAUUCGAAUCCCCACGCUACCACCUGGGAUUUUUCAGUCACCGCCGAGUGGCCUAAGACUACCCACAUGCUGUCCUGACGACCACCCAUCAACCCGGACUCUAGAAGAAACCGUCCAAGUGAAUCAAGAAUGAGUUCCGGGGGAAAGCAGGAGCCAGGAAUAAAUGGCGCCACUAUAUAAACUGCCUGUGCCAUGACGGGCUUGGGCCGACCACCAGGCCCCUGAAGAAAGCCUACCGGCGCUAUAGGCGAGCACGUAAAAAAAAGUUUAAUGUAAAAGACAAGACGUUUCACAACGCACUGAUACACAGCUAAAUACAAACCACACUCAGGGUCGAGCUCGGUCACAAACUGAAGGAAGCCAUGACAAACACAUCGACCAGAAGCCCUUCGGAGGCUGUUUGGAGGCCUCGAUAACAUCGCUUCUGGUCUCCGAGGCACAAGGACCUCGCGCGCACGCCCAGGACCCCGCCAGACCACGUGUAUCCCACCCGAAUUCAUGUUAGUCUAUCGCCAGCUAUCGCGGCGGGAGGGUGUGCGCCCGGCCUGCCUCUCGCUCACUGCUCGAGCACUCCGGACACUUGUUCUGCCACGCGGCCCCUCAGCGCGACACUCCUGUGGGGUGUUGGGGAUUCACUCGGGGUGCGUCCACCGCCUCCACGGCACACUGACACACCGACUCGUUUUCUGCGGCUCUGUCGUUUUCUUGGCGACUUCAACGACAAAUAAUGACACAACAGAUGACCCUUUACACGGCUGGCGGGGAAAAGACACAGUGCUCCUCCUUCCUUUACUCUGGAUAAGCAAGUGUUCCCUACACUGACGCCCUCUGGAAGCCCUGCUGUCCUGCGGCUCAGGUCUGCCUGUGAGGAGCAGCCUUGGUCUUGCCAGGCAGCGGCGGGCGUCGGCUGCACCUCGUCGCGGGACACUUGAACCCGACGGAAGGGGUUGGGCGGACUCUACAACCCGCCAGGCAGACCGACAAGGAACAGCCCUCCCUCACACCCGCCUUCCUGCUGUGGCCGCGUGAGGAAGGACAGGAAGGGUUAAGGGCGCGUGAAGGCACACAGAAAAGAAAGUGAGAUUUAGAGACGCGGGCAAAGGACAGGAAGGAAGGAGAGUGGGACGGACGGACGAAAGGAAAGAGAAGUGGGUGGGACGGAAAAAAAGAAGAAAGGGGAGUAAAAUGGGACAGACGGAGGAUAAUAUGAAAGAGAAGUGAGUACGAUGGAGUGACGGAAGAAUGGAAGAGAAGUAAGGAGAGUGGAAUAGAGAAAGGAAGGAGAAACUGAGGGACGGUGUGAAGAAAGGAAUGAAGAAGUGAGUGACCGAAGGAAGGAAGGAAGGGAAGAAGAAGACGAAGGACGGAGUAAGUAAGGGAAAGAAUAAAGGAAUAAAGGAAGAAGACAGGACAGAGGAAAGGAAAGGACGGAAGGACUUUGAGGUCACACACACAUAUGAAAAAGAUAAAACGAAAGGAUUAAAAAGCCACAAAGAGGGAAACGUGAAAAUCCUGAAUGCCAUAACGUAAAAUAAAAUGACGAUAGUAAAACCUGCGGCCAAAAAAUAACGAAAUAAAGAAAAAACCUGAAAAAAACGUGCGAAGGUGAACUGAAAAUGAAAUAGGAGAGUUACUGAAGGAGUGAAUCCAGGUUGAAAAUAUUUUGUCUGCCUUGCCUGGAAAAUAUGAGAAAGUAAAAACAUAGAGGGGAAAAAAUAUAUAUGCAUGAAGACCGCACAGUUAAUUAAAAGUAAAUGCUGAGCCGGAAAUGAACUCUGUGCAGAAAAAAAAAGUGAUAAAACAAUGACGGAUACAAAUGGAAAGGGAAAAAGAGCAACAAUAUAUUAACACUGAAAAAAAAAAAAAAACGGAAGAGAAAGAAAAAGAAGUAAAUAGAAGCAAACAAAAAAAGUCGAGUUACGGAACCAAAAAGAAAAAUGAUGAUAAUAGAAUGACGAAUCUAAAUGAAAAGGGAAAAAAGCAACAACAUAAAAACACUGAAAAAAUAUAACUAAUGACCUAAAAAAAAAAAAAGUAGAAAAAGUGAAAUCGUGUUAAAGAACGAAGAAAAAUAAUGAAAAAGAAUGACGAACACAAAUGAAAAGGGGAAAAAAGCAACAGAUUAGUACUGAAAAAAACUAACUAACGACCUAAGAGAGAAAAAAAAAAUUAAUGAAUGGAAGAAGAAAAUAAUAAUAUAGGGAUUCGUACUUAGUGAGAGAAAGAAGGGAGAAAUAAACAAAAAAAAGAAAGAAAACAACAACUGAAAAAAACUAAUGACCUUAAAAAUAUAAAUAAAGUAAAAUCGUGUUAAGAAAAGAAUAGGAAAAUAAUAAUAACGGAAUACGUACUUAGUGAGAGCAAGAAUAAAUAAAUAAACAAGAAAAAGAAGAGAAAACAACAGCAAAUUCUGGCGUGUGAGGCGCAAAGCGAAACAAAUUGAGACGAACCGUUGCAAUUAAAUCCAGGAAGCUGAACAAACAAAAAACACGAGUAAAAAACAACAACUUGCUCUCUCUCUCUCUCUCUCUCUCUCUCUCUCUCUCUCUCUUGCCCUCUUUCCUCUCUCUCUCUCCCUCUCUCCCGUUUCUGCGCGCGAGGAAGCGGGAAAAAAGAUAAAAAACAAAUAUACUAAAACAGGGAGACUAAAACAACACAAUAAACGGAAGAAGAGAGAAACACAGACAUAAAAUUAAUAAACACCACGAACAGGAAGGGAAAAAGAACGUAGAAAGAGAGAAAAAGAAGAAUAAAGGAGAGAAAAAGUGUGCAAAACAUCUGAUUCUCUUUACCUGAGGAGCGAAAGUGAGAGGGAAAAAAAAUAAAAUAAGAGGGAUUUGCAACACAGACAGAAAACGUGCGUGAAAAUCUGAAACUCCAAUAAGACGAGG